AAGUCUGAUGUGAAAGACCUUCGGCUUAACCGGACGAAGUAGCAUCGGAAACUAGGAUAACUUGAGUGCAGAAGAGGGUAGGUGGAACGUCCAUGUGUAGCGGUGGAAUGCGUAGAUAUAUGGAAGAACACCAGUGGCGAAGGCGGCUACCUGGUCUGCAACUGACGCUGAGACUCGAAAAGCAUGGGUAGCGAACAGGAUUAGAUACCCUGGUAG
rnacentral:rRNA from 1 species